rnacentral:rRNA from 1 species
GAUGAACGCUAGCUACAGGCUUAACACAUGCAAGUCGAGGGGAAACGACAUCGAAAGCUUGCUUUUGAUGGGCGUCGACCGGCGCACGGGUGAGUAACGCGUAUCCAACCUGCCCACCACUUGGGGAUAACCUUGCGAAAGUAAGACUAAUACCCAAUGAUAUCUCUAGAAGACAUCUGAAAGAGAUUAAAGAUUUAUCGGUGAUGGAUGGGGAUGCGUCUGAUUAGCUUGUUGGCGGGGUAACGGCCCACCAAGGCUACGAUCAGUAGGGGUUCUGAGAGGAAGGUCCCCCACAUUGGAACUGAGACACGGUCCAAACUCCUACGGGAGGCAGCAGUGAGGAAUAUUGGUCAAUGGGCGAGAGCCUGAACCAGCCAAGUAGCGUGCAGGAUGACGGCCCUAUGGGUUGUAAACUGCUUUUAUAAGGGAAUAAAGUGAGCCUCGUGAGGCUUUUUGCAUGUACCUUAUGAAUAAGGACCGGCUAAUUCCGUGCCAGCAGCCGCCGUAA